UGUGAAGGUGAGCAAAUCCCAAAAAUAACGUCCCAGUUCGGAUUGUAGUCUGCAACCCGACUACAUGAAGCUGGAAUCGCUAGUAAUCGCGGAUCAGAAUGCCGCGGUGAAUACGUUCCCGGGUCUUGUACACACCGCCCGUCACACCAUGGGAGCCGGAAAUGCCCGAAGCCAGUGACCCAACCUUAGGGAGGGAGCUGUCGAAGGUGGAGCCGGUAACUGGGGUGAAGUCGUAACAAGGUACC
rnacentral:rRNA from 1 species